AGUGAACGCUGGCGGCAGGCCUAAUACAUGCAAGUCGAACGGCAGCACAGCAGAGCUUGCUCUGUGGGUGGCGAGUGGCGGACGGGUGAGGAAUACGUGGGAAUCUGCCCAGUCGUGGGGGAUAACGUAGGGAAACUUACGCUAAUACCGCAUGCGCCCUUCGGGGAAAGCCGGGGACCUUCGGCCUGGCGCGAUUGGAUGAGCCCACGUCGGAUUAGCUAGUUGGCGGGGUAAAGGCCACCAAGGCGACGAUCCGUAGCUGGUCUGAGAGGAUGAUCAGCCACACUGGAACUGAGACACGGUCCAGACUCCUACGGGAGGCAGCAGUAGGGAAUAUUGGACAAUGGGCGCAAGCCUGAUCCAGCCAUGCCGCGUGAGUGAAGAAGGCCCUCGGG
rnacentral:rRNA from 1 species